rnacentral:piRNA from 1 species
UGACAAGUCACUAGUGAUGCCCAGAC